rnacentral:rRNA from 1 species
GAUGAACGCUGGCGGCGUGCCUAAUACAUGCAAGUCGAGCGAACAGACGAGGAGCUUGCUCCUCUGACGUUAGCGGCGGACGGGUGAGUAACACGUGGAUAACCUACCUAUAAGACUGGGAUAACUUCGGGAAACCGGAGCUAAUACCGGAUAAUAUAUUGAACCGCAUGGUUCAAUAGUGAAAGACGGUUUUGCUGUCACUUAUAGAUGGAUCCGCGCCGCUUUAGCUAGUUGGUAAGGUAACAGCUUACCAAGGCAACGAUGCGUAGCCGACCUGAGAGGGUGAUCGGCCACACUGGAACUGAGACACGGUCCAGACUCCUACGGGGGGCAGCAGUAGGGAAUCUUCCGCAAUGGGCGAAAGCCUGACGGAGCAACGCCGCGUGAGUGAUGAAGGUCUUCGGAUCGUAAAACUCUGUUAUUAGGGAAGAACAAAUGUGUAAGUAACUAUGCACGUCUUGACGGUACCUAAUCAGAAAGCCACGGCUAACUACGUG